UACGGAGGAUCCAAGCGUUAUCCGGAAUCAUUGGGUUUAAAGGGUCCGUAGGCGGUCUUAUAAGUCAGUGGUGAAAUCUCUCCGCUCAACGGGGAAACGGCCAUUGAUACUGUAAGACUUGAAUUAUUGGGAAGUAACUAGAAUAUGUAGUGUAGCGGUGAAAUGCUUAGAUAUUACAUGGAAUACCGAUUGCGAAGGCAGGUUACUAUCAAUACAUUGACGCUGAUGGACGAAAGCGUGGGGAGCGAACAGG
rnacentral:rRNA from 1 species